GGGGGCACAGCAGCCCCAGAACCGGAGUGGGAGGUGGAUCGCUGCACUGAAGAAAAAUUUUUUCCAACAAUUGAUAAACUACACUUUUGCUAAAAUAUGUAAUCCAGACCAGAAUUUUCAGUAGUGUUUACUGUCAGCGUGAUGACUUUCUACGCCUCAGUAAAGCAGAGCUCUUCAAGAAUUCACUGUGAAGAAACGAUUUGUCUGUGUUGUAGUAAACGUUGCAAUUAAGCACAUCAUGUUUCCCAGUCUAUGGGGGUGAGUCCAUAGCCUUUGUUAACAACAGUGCUGGACACACCUUUUUUCUUUCUUCCUUUUUUUUUUUUUUUCUUAGUCAUCCUGUACAAAGAGUACUGGCAUCACUACACAGAAGGAAAGGGAGGAUAUAAAGCAGGCCAAGAAAAGCAGUGCGUGGACACUGGGAAGCAAACGUGCAGCUUGUGUCAGCAUCUAGAAAUACCCACUACCAUGUACAUGUAUUGAACAAAUGUAAAACUUUCUUUGGACAGUUUUUUUUUUUUUUCAAUUAUGGCCAUGCAACUGAAAACAGAAUCCGUUGGGAUUCCACCAUAUCUGUGACAGUGAACUGCAACGCUGAAGUAAACCACAUAACACUUCUAGUGAUAUAAAAGAAAUUUCAAGCGUACCAAAAGAAUGCAUCCAAUGUUGUUCCAGUCAAACAGGAAUAAAGAAAUCUUGAGUGCUGAAGUUAAGAGACCUUACUGGAAACUAAGCAAAGACAGGGUGUCAGAGUGAAGGAGAGUACACCUAAAUGUUGUUAACACAGAAAGGAAAUAAAUGCUGCUCAGCAGUCGCUCAUUCCAGAAGUUCCUUCCAGUAAAGCAGAGGAGCAGACACACCAGAGCCCGUGAGAGAUUUCUGCUUGAUCUUUGAAGGGCAGGGGAGUACUGAGCAAGGUGAAGCUACUGCUAAUAACAGGUAUGAACUUUGCACAUCUGUGGAAAGCUUGCUCGCUUUCUCUUGAAAUCACCCAGUUUUAGGGUGCUCCCAUAGCAAAUAAAUCUAAAAGUUAAUCUGCUCACCUUGCUCUCUUUCUUCAUUCUGCAGUGUACACGUGUGCAUUAGGCAUGCUUGAUGUUAUUGUGAGUUUACUUAAAAUGAGCCUUACGUUUAAUUUGAGAAUUUGUAGAACUGAGUUUGUUAGGCUUUUUUGAGGGGCAGAACAAC
rnacentral:lncRNA from 7 species